UACUAAUGCAACUGCGAAUAGCUGUUUAAUACAGUCGCAAUUGUAUUGACUUAGCAUAGAUAGUAUCUAUAAAUAUAUAAUAUUUUGGAUAACUAAGGGAAAGUUUGGCUAAUACGUUUAAAAUGUAUUUAAUAAUACAUAUGCAUAUAAUAAUAUUGCAACAUGAUAGAUAUUAUAUAAAUUAAAAUACUUUAAUAUGUAUUUUUAAUAGAGCAGACUUUAUAAUAUAUAUUAUUAUUAUAAAGCAUGUCAAACAAGCAUCUAUAGCAUCAAGUCACAAUGUUGGCAUGUGUAUUAUUGAACCUUCAAAGCAUUUACGCAUUCGGAGGAGUAGUUUCUGAUCCCGUCGAAGGUGCCUGAGAGACGGCACUUAGUUCUAAGGAACGCAGCAGGCGCGUAAAUUGCCCAAUGACAAAACAUGUAUUUUUAUUGAGGCAGUGACAAGCUGUAAAGAUUCAAUAUAUUAAUUAAGAUAACAUUUGGAAUUGUCCCUUUAUAAUAUUUUAUAUUAUUUUGGUUGAUAAUAUACCAAUGUUAUAAAAUAUUGAAUUUGAAUGCGGUGAAUUUAAUAAUUUCAAGUAACAUGUAUAUUUUAUAUGUUAUCUGAAUUUUCAAGUGGAGGGCAAGUCUGGUGCCAGCAGCCGCGGUAAUACCAGCUCCACUAGCUUAUACAAUCAUUGUUGCGGUUAAGAGGCUCGUAGUUGGAUUGAAUUAUAUUAACCAAUACUGUGAACAAACCAGAGUGUAUAAAACAUGUAAUAUUUUAUAUUAUGCAAUGAAUGUUUUAUCAUGGAAUAUUGCUAUAAUAUUUCGAUGGAGAUAGUUGGAGUUAAGAGUACUGAUAGGCGAGCGGUGAAAUGCAUUGACCCUAUUAAGACUAACAAAAGCGAAAGCACUUAACUAGAUUAUUCUCUUUGUAUUAUUACAAUGAAGAGCGAAGGUUGGGGGAACAAAGAGGAUCAGAUACCCUCGUAGUCCUAUUUUUUACAUCAAACUAUGGGAUUUCAAUUGUAUAUUUAACCAUAUUAAAAUAUGAUUGAGUUUAUUAAAUUAUAUAUAUACUCUCAUAUAAUAAUAUUAUAAUAUUAUAUGUACUUUGCGCUCAUAUAAUAAUAUAGGUGAGAUGUAAGCAUUAUUGGUUUACAAUAUACUUAUAUAUUAUUUAAUUAAUAUAUAAUGUAUUAUUGUAAUCCUAAAUUAUAAAUAUAAUGUGAUGCACGUUUUAGGUACGAGCUUACUAUAGAAAUAUUUAAAAUAAUACCCUCCUGGGGUAGUAUGCACGCAAGUGUGAAACUUGAAGGAAUUGACGGAAGGGCACCACAAGAACGCGUGGAGCAUGUGGCUUAAUUUGACUCAACGCGGGAAAUCUUACCAGGUCCAGACAUAUUGAGGAUUGACAGGCGAUAGUUUAUUAUACUUAGUUGUAUAGUAAGCAUAAAAAUGAUAGUCCUUUCAUGAUUAUAUGAUAGGUGGUGCAUGGCCGUUCUUAGUUCGUGGAGUGAUUUGUCUGCUUAAUUGCGUUUCAGUUAAAUAAAAUAUAAUAAUAUACAUUAAUAUUUUAGUUCUGCCAAUAUUAUAUUGGAUUUAAAGUGAACAUAUUAUUGUUAUUAAUAUAUAAUAAAUGAAUGCAACGAACGUGACCGUAACCUUUUAUUGCUAUAAUAAAUAUAGCAUAAAAUUAAAGGAACCGCUGUCAUAAAUUAUAUGUGUUAAAAUAGAGUAAGAUUACGGCAAUAACAGGUCUGUGAUGCCCUCAGAUGUUCUGGGCUGCACACGUGCUACAAUAAUUACAUUAAUAAGUAUAUAUUACAUUAAUAAUUAUAUUAAUACAACCUAUUUCGAAAGUAAAUGGGUAAUCAUUUAAAAAUCGUGAUUAUUAUAAAAAUAAUUAAUUUAAGGUGGGGAUAGUGUAUUGUUAAUUAUUACACUUGGCCUUAACUAGGAAUGCCUUGUACUCUUCUUUGGUUUAACAUACCAAGAGGAAUACGUCCCUGCCCUUUGUACACACCGCCCGUCGCUCUUACCGAUGAAUUAUAUUAUAAAUUUAAGGGAUUAUAAUAUAUAUUAAAAACUUAUAUACAUAAUGUGAUUUAAAGGAAAGAGAAGUCGUAACAAGGCAUCAGUAGGUGAACCU
rnacentral:rRNA from 1 species